rnacentral:rRNA from 1 species
UACGGGGGGGGCAAGCGUUGUUCGGAAUUACUGGGCGUAAAGGGCGCGUAGGCGGCCUUCUAAGUCGAACGUGAAAUCCCUGGGCUCAACCCAGGAACUGCGUCCGAUACUGGAAGGCUUGAAUCCGGGAGAGGGAUGCGGAAUUCCAGGUGUAGCGGUGAAAUGCGUAGAUAUCUGGAGGAACACCGGUGGCGAAGGCGGCAUCCUGGACCGGUAUUGACGCUGAGGCGCGAAAGCCAGGGGAGCAAACAGG